AGAGUUUGAUCCUGGCUCAGGAUGAACGCUAGCGGCAGGCUUUAACACAUGCAAGUCGAGGGGCAGCAUGUCCAGCAAUGGAUGAUGGCGACCGGCGGAAGGGUGCGUAACGCGUGAGCAACAUGCCCUAUACAGGGAGAUACACCAGGGAAACUUGGUCUAAUAUCCCAUAGCAUUCAUUGAAGGCAUCUUUAAUGAAUUAAAGCUUCGGUGGUAUAGGAUUGGCUCGCGUGACAUUAGCCAGAUGGUGAGGUAACGGCUCACCAUAGCAAUGAUGUCUAGGGGUUUUGAGAGGAAGGCCCCCCACACUGGGACUGAGACACGGCCCAGACUCCUACGGGAGGCAGCAGUGAGGAAUAUUGGACAAUGGAUGGAAAUCUGAUCCAGCCAUGCCGCGUGCAGGAAGACGGCCUUAUGGGUUGUAAACUGCUUUUAUACGGGAGCAAUAAGGGUUACGAGUAAUCCGAUGAGAGUACUGUAUGAAUAAGGAUCGGCUAACUCCGUGCCAGCAGCCGCGGUAAUACGGAGGAUCCGAGCGUUAUCCGGAAUUAUUGGGUUUAAAGGGUGCGUAGGCGGCCAUUUAAGUCAGCGGUGAAAUUUUGCAGCUUAACUGUAACAGUGCCGUUGAUACUGUUUGGCUAGGAUUUGGUUGUAGUGUGCGGAAUGUGUGGUGUAGCGGUGAAAUGCUUAGAUAUCACACAGAACACCGAUUGCGAAGGCAGCACACUAAGUCAUUAUUGACGCUGAGGCACGAAAGUGUGGGGAUCAAACAGGAUUAGAUACCCUGGUAGUCCACACUGUAAACGAUGAUAACUCGCUGUCGGCGAUACACAGUCGGUGGCCAAGCGAAAG
rnacentral:rRNA from 1 species